AAAGCAGAUUUUGCUUAUUCUGCAAGAUAAAUCACCAGAGCUGCCAUUUUCCUAGUAAUUUCAAAACCAGAUAUUGGUUAUAUUUUUUCUAAACACAAUUGUCUUCAUUUGAGCUUCUCAAAGGGAGUGUGCCUAUACAGGUUUUCACUUAACCCAGCAAGGGCAGCAAGCUGCGUGCCCCUUACCCCUGUUUACCAAUAUUCCAGCAUCACAUUGACGGGCUUAAGUGGCUCGAUGUUCUCCAGGGCGCAUACGCUAGCCAGAAAGUUCAGAAGCUGGCAGCUCACAUUUGCCCAAAUUGAUUCCACAUCUGCCUUAAGUAAACCGCUCCCUCUGAUACAGCAGACUUGCUUUUUUUUCCUCCCCUUGCAAGUCAGUGUAAGCUAUUAGAGGUUGAAAAUAAAGAGGCUAUUUUAGAAAAGAAGAAAAACAAGUUAAAGACUAGAAGCAGCAAUCUGGAGAUGAAGCCGGAGACUGCCCCUUACAGCUGUGAGGCAGGGCAGAGAUAAGAAAAACAGAAAAGCCAGAAAUCUCACAAGCACAGCAGGUAUGCGACUAAGAUCUCCUCUCUCGAGUGCUUUCAUUAUUAUCCUGGAGGCACACCUGGGAACUGAGUGGAUGACUGGCAAGGCCCUCAGUGAAUCCUCAUGAGCAGCACCUCUUACAACCCAGCUUUCGUGGAGUGUGGGCACAGAGAGUCUGACGUUACACCUCUGACAACAUGAAGAGCGACCCUUUUAUGAACAUCAAGGCAGUUGAGCAGGAUGGAGAACCUCUUUAUCUCUGCAAAGAGGUGGACCAAGGGCAGGGUCAAGGCCAGGACAGAGGUCCCACUCAGGAGACUAAACUGAAUCUGUUCCACAGGCAGUGGAGACCCCUAAAUUCUCUUCUAUGACACUCAGACACAG
rnacentral:lncRNA from 1 species